AAUAACCAAAUAUUAUACAGAAUAAGGGUUAAGUUAUUAAUUAUUCUUACAUCUCCCCCCCUCCCGAUUCCCAGGUAUCAUAUAUUCCUUGAAAAAUAUAUGCC
rnacentral:ncRNA from 1 species